GCCAAGGAGUAAAAAGUCAAUAAUGUUUCAAUUUCUUAAACCUUCACAUGUUUUAGGCUUCUUGGGAUGGUUCAACUGCAGAGAUAGAUUAACCCAUGAGUAAUGUACUAGCAUGGACCAUUCUUCCGGCUUUCCAGUAGGGAUGCAGCCAACAACUGUAACAUCACCUGUGUCACUGAUAAGUUUCACUAAGCAAACAAACAGUUCUCCUGUGGAAAAACAUCUGAUGCCAAAAGCUUCCCUUCAUGCCAAUACAAGAGUGAAGGCUGAUGCAGUUUCACUUGAAGCAGGUUGAAUAAAAACUGGACUCGGCCCCUUUAAGUCCGGCUGAUGACAAACGGCUACUUUUUAUCUUUUGCUGUUGCUCUGGCUCAGUACAGCCAUUUAAUUAUUCAUAGGAAGGUUCUUUGGUAUUUUCACUGUAGAAGUCACAUCUAAGACUUAAAUCUUACUUCCACCAACUCCAGUGAUGAAGUUUCCAGACUAAUGAAAAGGUCAGUGCUGUGACAUUUCUGGAACCCAUUCUCAGCUUCGCAGGGAAAGCUAGACUUGGGUUUUCCAUUAUUGGAGCAUAAAGUUCUUCACUCACCAAAACUGCAUCAGCAGGAAAAUCCACCAGACACUUUAAGCUAGUGAUUACACUGAUGUGAAUAUAAACUUACCACAAAUAUAACAAUGAAAGUUUUUGUAUGCUGGGGAAAAUCUUGGAGUGUGGAGAAAGCAUCUCAAUUACCUUGCAGAACAUUCUGAACACAUAGAAGAUAUUUGUGCUUAUUGAACGGCAUGACAAGUUGACUGUAUACAUUAUUAAUACAUGAAUAAAUAAAGUUCAUAGCUUU